rnacentral:rRNA from 1 species
CAGUAGCCACGGUAAUACGAAGGGGGCUAGCGUUGUUCGGAUUUACUGGGCGUAAAGGGCGCGUAGGCGGACUGAUAAGUCAGGGGUGAAAUCCCAAGGCUCAACCUUGGAACUGCCUUUGAUACUGUUUGUCUUGAGUUCGAGAGAGGUAAGUGGAACUGCGAGUGUAGAGGUGAAAUUCGUAGAUAUUCGCAAGAACACCGAUGGCGAAGGCAGGUCUCUGGGCUGUAACUGACGCUGAGGCUCGAAAGCGUGGGGAGCAAACAGGAUUAGAUACCCGCGUAGUCCCUGUCUCUUAUAC